rnacentral:lncRNA from 1 species
UCUCGCUCUGUCACUCAGGCUGGAGUGCAGUGGCGCGAUCUCGGCUCACUGCAAGCUCCGCCUCCCGGGUUCACACCAUUCUCCUGCCUCAGCCUCCUGAGUAGCUGGGACUACAGGCGCCCACCACCACGCCCGGCUAAUUUUGUUUUUGUAUUUUUAGUAGAGACGGGGUUUCACCGUGUUAGCCAGGAUGGUCUCGAUCUCCUGACCUUGUGAUCCCCCCGCCUCGGCCUCCCAAAGUGCUGGGAUUACAGGCGUGAGCCACCGCGCCCGGCCUGC